UGGAGAAGGUGGCUUCAGCAAGGAAGUAGAA
rnacentral:piRNA from 1 species